rnacentral:misc_RNA from 1 species
GGGAGGGGGAAGAUCGUGCGGCGGCGCGCCGGGAAGCAGCACCUUCUCAGCAAGAAGAACACCAAGCGCAGGAAGAGGCUAUCCAAGAUGAUCCAAGUUAACAAGAGCGACUACAACAACGUGACGGGCGCACUGCCCUACCUCAAAGUGAACAGGAAUGCAGAAUGAGAUCUCCUAGGUCUUGCAAACAUGCUUCUGUUUCGUUUCAUCAAAUUGUAAUUUUGUGUAUCUUCUUUGUAUUUCUUUUCUGAAUACCAAGGUCCCA